GAGGGUACAGCUCAGUGGUAGAGCACAUGCUUUGCAUGCAUAAGGUCCUGGGUUCAAUCCCCAGUACCUCUU
rnacentral:tRNA from 1 species